AUAUAAAACAAAAAAAGAAUACAAAGAAUCGAGAAACAUUAAUGGUA
rnacentral:guide_RNA from 1 species